CUAGACAUUUUCUUCAUAAUUUCUCAGCCAAAACGCCAUAGAAGGUCUGGAGAAAGCUGGUUUUUCAUAUUUUUACAUCAUAUCAAGAAUCCAAAGAAGAACGAGGAAAAGAAAAAGUUGCGGAAUAGUCCCAAAAUUUCAAUAUCUUCUACAAAUUAGCCGGAUUGACUUGAAGUGAAGUGGGUAGAUCGGAUCAACACAACAAAGCACACUAUCCAGAUCAAUUCCGGUAGCUUUUGUUUUAUGUUUGAAGAUUUAUAUGGCAUGUAUAGAGUUUGAAUGAAUUGAAGUAAAUAUGUUAUAAACUAGUUAACAAUAUUUGUACUAAAA